AAUAGAUACCCUGGUAGUCCACGCCGUAAACGAUGAGUGCUAAGUGUUGGGGGGGUUUCCGCCCCUCAGUGCUGCAGCUAACGCAUUAAGCACUCCGCCUGGGGAGUACGGUCGCAAGACUGAAACUCAAAGGAAUUGACGGGGGCCCGCACAAGCGGUGGAGCAUGUGGUUUAAUUCGAAGCAACGCGAAGAACCUUACCAGGUCUUGACAUCCCGGUGACCACUAUGGAGACAUAGUUUCCCCGUUCGGGGGCAACGGUGACAGGUGGUGCAUGGUUGUCGUCAGCUCGUGUCGUGAGAUGUUGGGUUAAGUCCCGCAACGAGCGCAACCCUUAUUCUUAGUUGCCAUCAUUCAGUUGGGCACUCUAAGGAGACUGCCGGUGAUAAACCGGAGGAAGGUGGGGAUGACGUCAAAUCAUCAUGCCCCUUAUGACCUGGGCUACACACGUGCUACAAUGGACGGUACAAACGGUUGCCAACCCGCGAGGGGAGCUAAUCCGAUAAAACCGUUCUCAGUUCGGAUUGUAGGCUGCAACUCGCCUAC
rnacentral:rRNA from 1 species